rnacentral:rRNA from 1 species
AGAGUUUGAUCAUGGCUCAGGACGAACGCUGGCGGCGUGCUAAACACAUGCAAGUCGUACGAUGAUGUUUCCAGCUUGCUGGGGAUGGAUUAGUGGCGAACGGGUGAGUAACACGUGAGUAACCUGCCUUUCACUCUGGGAUAAGCCUUGGAAACGAGGUCUAAUACUGGAUAUGACUUCCUGCCGCAUGGUGGGGGGUGGAAAGCCUUUACGGGUGGUGGAUGAUGGACUCGCGGACUAUCAGCUUGUUGGUGGGGUUGUGGCCUACCAAGGCUUUGACGGUUAGCCGGCCUGAGAGGGUGAUCGGCCACAUUGGGACUGAGAUACGGCCCAGACUCCUACGGGAGGCAGCAGUGGGGAAUAUUGCACAAUGGGCGAAAGCCUGAUGCAGCGACGCCGCGUGGGGGAUGAAGGCCUUCGGGUUGUAAACUCCUUUCGCUCGUGACGAAGCCUUUCGGGGUGACGGUAGCGGGAGAAGAAGCACCGGCUAACUACGUGCCAGCAGCCGCGGUAAUACGUAGGGUGCGAGCGUUGUCCGGAAUUAUUGGGCGUAAAGAGCUUGUAGGCGGUUUGUCGCGUCUGCUGUGAAAGCCCGGGGCUUAACUCCGGGUCUGCAGUGGGUACGGGCAGGCUAGAGUGUGGUAGGGGAGACUGGAAUUCCUGGUGUAGCGGUGAAAUGCGCAGAUAUCAGGAGGAACACCGAUGGCGAAGGCAGGUCUCUGGGCCAUUACUGACGCUGAGAAGCGAAAGCAUGGGGAGCAAACAGGAUUAGAUACCCUGGUAGUCCAUGCCGUAAACGUUGGGCGCUAGGUGUGGGGCUCAUUCCACGAGUUCCGUGCCGUAGCUAACGCAUUAAGCGCCCCGCCUGGGGAGUACGGCCGCAAGGCUAAAACUCAAAGGAAUUGACGGGGGCCCGCACAAGCGGCGGAGCAUGCGGAUUAAUUCGAUGCAACGCGAAGAACCUUACCAAGGCUUGACAUACACCAGAUCGCAGCAGAGAUGUUGUUUCCUUUUGGUUGGUGUACAGGUGGUGCAUGGUUGUCGUCAGCUCGUGUCGUGAGAUGUUGGGUUAAGUCCCGCAACGAGCGCAACCCUCGUUCUAUGUUGCCAGCACGUAAUGGUGGGGACUCAUAGGAGACUGCCGGGGUCAACUCGGAGGAAGGUGGGGAUGAGGUCAAAUCAUCAUGCCCCUUAUGUCUUGGGCUUCACGCAUGCUACAAUGGCUGGUACAGAGGGUUGCGAUACCGCGAGGUGGAGCGAAUCCCUUAAAGCCGGUCUCAGUUCGGAUUGGGGUCUGCAACUCGACCCCAAGAAGUUGGAGUCGCUAGUAAUCGCAGAUCAGCAACGCUGCGGUGAAUACGUUCCCGGGCCUUGUACACACCGCCCGUCAAGUCACGAAAGUUGGUAACACCCGAAGCCCACGGCCUAACCACGUAAGUGGAGGGAGUGGUCGAAGGUGGGAUCGGCGAUUGGGACUAAGUCGUAACAAGGUAACC